GCGUAUGGUGAAAUUGGUAGACACGCCAGACUUAGGAUCUGGUGCCGCAAGGUGUGAAGGUUCGAGUCCUUUUACGCACA
rnacentral:tRNA from 1 species